rnacentral:misc_RNA from 1 species
GUAGAGAUAGAGUGAGAAGUAAGAGCAAACAUCCAUCAUGUGUGGGAGAAAUGGAGGCAAGUACACAAGAGAAACUCAUGAGGAUGAUUCUAAUAAGGGUGAUGACAAAGAAAAAUCUGGUGUUCAUGACAACAAAAAUACUAAUGGCAAAAGCAAAGGAUCAUUCGUGACACCUAAAAGGGGAAAAAUAAGAGAAAAGAUACUGAAAGAUUUAAAUCCUUGGGCUACUGAGGGCUAACU